rnacentral:rRNA from 1 species
UACGGAGGGUGCAAGCGUUAAUCGGAAUUACUGGGCGUAAAGCGUGCGCAGGCGGUUCGUUGUGUCGGUGGUGAAAGCCCUGGGCUCAACCUGGGAACUGCAGUGGAAACUGGACAACUAGAGUGUGGUAGAGGGUAGCGGAAUUCCCGGUGUAGCAGUGAAAUGCGUAGAGAUCGGGAGGAACAUCCAUGGCGAAGGCAGCUACCUGGACCAACACUGACACUGAGGCACGAAAGCGUGGGGAGCAAACAGG